GAUGAACGCUGGCGGCGUGCCUAAUACAUGCAAGUCGAGCGAACAGAUGAGGAGCUUGCUCCUCUGACGUUAGCGGCGGACGGGUGAGUAACACGUGGAUAACCUACCUAUAAGACUGGGAUAACUUCGGGAAACCGGAGCUAAUACCGGAUAAUAUAUUGAACCGCAUGGUUCAAUAGUGAAAGACGGUUUUGCUGUCACUUAUAGAUGGAUCCGCGCCGCAUUAGCUAGUUGGUAAGGUAACGGCUUACCAAAGCAACGAUGCGUAGCCGACCUGAGAGGGUGAUCGGCCACACUGGAACUGAGACACGGUCCAGACUCCUACGGGAGGCAGCAGUAGGGAAUCUUCCGCAAAGGGCGAAAGCCUGACGGAGCAACGCCGCGUGAGUGAUGAAGGUCUUCGGAUCGUAAAACUCUGUUAUUAGGGAAGAACAAAUGUGUAAGUAACUAUGCACGUCUUGACGGUACCUAAUCAGAAAGCCACGGCUAACUACGUG
rnacentral:rRNA from 1 species